CGGGGUGUGGCGCAGUUGGUAGCGUACUUGACUGGGGGUCAAGGGGUCGCAGGUUCAAGUCCUGUCACCCCGACCA
rnacentral:tRNA from 1 species